UAGGAAAAAAACAGAAAAUAUAUUUCACAAAAAAAAAACUAAACAGGGCUUAAGCUUCAUUCUCUGUGUUUUCAUUUCAUGUUUAUCUUCUAUGCUUCCAGUUGAUCAUUAUACCCAAAACCUUUAAACAAAAUUUUUUUAGCAUAUAUAUUGCUCUAAAACCCACUUUUCUCACAGCUCUGAAAUUUAUCAUCAGCUUGAAUUGUGUUGAAGAAAUGGCAGCCUUGGCUUCAGCAACUGCAAAACGCCAAGCCCUGAGUCUAACAGAUGCAGCCGCCUCUAGACUUCGCUAUUUACUUGAGCAGCGCCACCGCCCUUUUUUGACUAUUACAUUUCGGAAAUUUUAUUUAAAGAAUAAGAUCUGAAUUCAUUUUCAUAAAUCCUAACUCUAAAGGUCAAUGUGGUUGCGGAGAGUCUUUUAUGACCACGAGCACUUCAGCAGCUGCUAAACACCGCGGUAGGGGAUAAUUACAAAAUUUGUUUGUGAUUUCACUCUCAUGGUAAUCGCAUAUUCUACUCUAAUCAUGUGCAAAAACAAACUAAACAGCGAUGUGAGAAUCACUACGUAUGGAUUCCAUAAUUUAUCUUGUGUUUUCUUAGUAAAGAAAACGUGUAUAUGAUAUGGAAACUCGUACGUAUGACACUUUUACUGUAGAUACUCGUGUUCUUAAAGACUUUGUAACUAUAACAUUUAUAGCUAAUUGCACAGAAUAAAAGAGUUUCAGGAAUGUAUAUACAAACAAGUGGGAGAAAAUGGAUUGCGGAAGUCUGGUUGAUGCGCGACUGCCUACCUGCAAUGUAACUUUUUCAUUUUAGCCAGAAAAGGUUUUUCUUUUCUAGAUUCUGACCUACUAAAAGCUUAUCCUUGCAAAUUUACAAUAAGGGAGAUGAAUUUGUAUUUGACAGUCAGAUAGAAUUUAAAAAGGCUGGAAUUUGUUUCUUGUUAAAACCUUAUCUGUGCAUUUUUAUC